AUCGUAGCCAGCCACCAGCCCACCAGCCGCUCGCAACAGGCAGAGGAAAAAAAGGUAGCCAUCAAACCCAUCGAUUCCCCAUUCUCUCGGCUGCCUCGUCGCCUCCGACGGCGCCGCCGUUCCCCUUUCGUCUCCACCUCGCGCCCGCAGCUCACGACGCUCGCCGUCGUCGCUUCCCGGCGAGGCCAUCCACGGCAGCCGUUUCUUCUUCCCGGACGCCGCCACCGUCUCCCCACCCCCACGCGGCACAGCGUCUCGCCCUCUCUAGGGUUUUCUCGGAUCAAGAAUCGCUGUAAGCCACAUUUCCCCACCCGUGCUACUCCCGAAUCCGCAAUCCCCAUCCGAAGAUCCUUGCAACUUCCGCCCCAAGAGUCCUCGCUGCCGGCCGGCGCCACCAUCUUCUCGCAGUGCAAGCAGCCAUGCCGCUUCGUCGUCGUCGAGCUAGUGGCGUCGCAACCUUCCCCUGGAGCCAUUGUCCUGCGCCAUCUCCCCGUGGACGCGGUGCCGGCCGCAGCCGUAGUCUUCUCGUGGAUCCACCGGCCAACACCGCCACCAACCAUCUCGUCCACGGCCAUCUCCUCGCUUCUCAUGGCUGCUGCUCGUCGGCUCCUCCACACCUCUCCAAUCCACUACUUCUUCCACUCCAUGCAGUACACCUGUGAAAUGUGCCUGCUUUGACUGUUUUGUAUACAACAAUACAAGUACCCACCUCUUUCCUCUUGACAAGUACCCACCUGGUCACCUCUCCAUCAACCCCUUUCCUUCUCUCUAGGUGAGUACUAAAGGUGCACAUCAGCUAGCUAUAUAAUUUUUGGUCUUUCUUCAAUUAACAUGCAUAGAAAAGUUCUAUUAGUUUCUCUGUUAAAUUGUCUAUAUCCAACUUUACC
rnacentral:lncRNA from 1 species